rnacentral:rRNA from 1 species
UACGGGGGGAGCAAACGUUGUUCGGAAUCACUGGGCGUAAAGCGCACGUAGGCGGACUCUUAAGUCGGGGGUGAAAUCCUGGAGCUCAACUCCAGAACUGCCUUCGAUACUGAGAGUCUUUGAGUCCGGGAGAGGUGAGUGGAACUGCGAGUGUAGAGGUGAAAUUCGUAGAUAUUCGCAAGAACACCAGUGGCGAAGGCGGCUCACUGGCCCGGUACUGACGCUGAGGUGCGAAAGCGUGGGGAGCAAACAGG